GGGUGAUGAAAUAAUCUGUACGACAAACCCCUGUGACAAUUAUCCCCUUACAACAAACCUGCACAUGCACCCCUAAACCUAAAAUAAAAGUUAAAAAUAAAUAAAUAAAUAAAUAACCUUAAAGCCCUUCUCCCAGUGAAUGCUGAGCCCCAUAGCCUUCCUCUUUAGCCAAGAGCAGUUCUUGUAUUCUGUUCCCAAAAGCUUUUUGUUCAUUGGCAGGUAAGAGCUUUUUGCCCUGUCAUAGACUGUAGUAUGUGAUGACCUUGUAGAAUCCAGAAUAUAUCCCCUAUGAAAUCUGGUUUACCACUUACUCCCCUCCCCAACUAAGCUAUGUGGUUUUAUCAACAACUAUGGUAAUUUUUUUUCUGAUCUUGUGAUUUAAGAACUAAUGUUACAAACCUCAGGGAGACUAGUUUGUGUGUUUAAGUAUAGCCAUAGGCUUGAUAAAGUAUUGGUAGAGAACUUGGCGGAACCUGACAUCUUUAAAAUAGCAAUGUUCAGCUCAGCGUUUAACUCUCUCCCCCUUAAUAUCUUUUUAGUUUUAUCUGAGAAACAUACUACAUUUUUUUCUCUUUUCUUUCCUUUAAAGGUGGAUGCUCAAGUUUGAGGACUGUCAUGGGGACUAUCAGGUUUUUUAGGCAUGUGCUUUCUUUUUCUUCAAAUUAAAACCUGUUGUCUGUCUGUCUCUUGUCAUUUUUCAGGACAGCCACACUCGGGGCUCUUACAAUCAGGGGUCAUAAGCUGCUAUGUCACCUACCUCACCUUCUCAGCUCUGUCCAGCAAACCUGCAGAAGUAGUUCUAGAUGAACAUGGGAAAAAUGUUACAAUCUGUGUGCCUGACUUUGGUCAAGACCUGUACAGAGAUGAAAACUUGGUGACUAUACUGGGAACCAGCCUCUUAAUCGGAUGUAUCUUGUAUUCAUGGUAAGUCUUGGGAGUUACUCAAGGCCACUUUUGCAGACUUUAAAAUUACAGGAAAAGAACUGAAAUGACUUUCAGUAGCUGUGAGGCUGCAGCCAUUUGAGGAGGGGGGAAAACAACCACAAGUAAAAAGGUGAAGAGCAUGAACUCAUAUUUGAACUUCGUUUACCUUACUUGUUUUUAUUUGGGGUAAAUAAAGCAAAUAUAUGGUAUGUAAAUAUUUGAACUUUGUUUACUUGUUUUUAUUUGGGGUAAAUAAAGCAAAUAUAUGGUAUGUAACUAUUUGAACUUUGUUUACCUUAACUGUUUUUAUUUGGGGUAAAUAAAGCAAAUAUAUGGUAUGUUGCAGCACCGUUGCCUAACACCCUUUAAAAGAUGGUUGAAUAGUAGUUUGCUAUACCUUUACUGGAGGGCAGGGGAGCACAAAGUGAAGAAGAGAUAGAAUGUGCCAGCCUGUCCUGGCAGCUUUCUAAUCCAAAGGAAAUAGCUUUGUUCUGCUGUUGAUAGAAAGAGUACAAAGUGCUGCAUGCGUGGUCAUUCCGUGCAGACAAGAAAUGUUCCUUCUCUUUUCUGCUAAAACCCACAAUGCUGUUGUUCACUAGGCAAAGCAGCUCCUCCAAAAGUAGAUGUGAUAUAUGAGUGGGCUGUGUUUCAGAUGCUUGUGGUGGGGGUUAUUCCACUUUUAAAAGGUUUAAAAGGUUGCUAGAGGGAGAAAAGUCAAGGACAGAAAUGGCUAGUUAAUCUGGAUAUAUAUUUCACUGAUAAGUAAGCUUCCCUUUAACAGUAACCUUUUCACAUUUAGCCUUUACUUCUGUGUUUACAUUUUGUUAAUGUUCAGUAUAAAAAUUCAGUUCCAUUGAAUUCAGCCAUAGGCACAUUGUAAACUGCCUUUUUGCUGAAACUAAAUACUCCUGGUGGUGAUAGCUUGUAUAAAUACAAUGUCUUUCUGAGCAUGUUGGCAUUUUCUCUUACCUCCUUUAACAACUUCUACUAUUAGAAAGGGACCAACAGGGACACAGACCUUUUAGAGUCUAUUUGCUCAGGGUCACGCAUCAAGCAAUAAAAUGCUUGUUGUUUUACAGGUGGAUGUUAAGAUGAUGGUUACAUACAUUCAUUCUUGGCCUGUGUGUGACAUAGUGACAGAGUCUCCUUGUUGUUGCAUAAUGGACUGUGGUGACUUCUUUCUGGCCUUUCAAUUUUAUUAAUUCCUAAGUUGUUCACUGAGUACCUACAAUAUAGGAAGCAGGCUGCGUGGUGCAGUGGCUCACGCCAAUAAUCCCAGCACUUUGGGAGGCUGAGGCAGGAGAUCACUUGAACCCAGGAAUUUGAGACCAGCCUGGACAACAUAGCAAGACCCUGUUUCUACCAAAAAAAAAAAAAAAAUCAGGCGUGAUGGCACGUGCCUGUGGUCCCAGCUACUUGGGAGGCUGAGAUGGGAGGAUCACUUGAACCCAGGUGUCUAAGGCUGCAGUGAGCUAGGGGUGUCUCCACUCCAGCCUAAGCAACAGAGUGAGACCCUGUCUUAAAAAACCAACUAUGAAGAUAUUUGACAGAAUAAAAUUAUGUUUUUGUGGGUUACUGGGUACCAAAUGAAAAAAAAUAUUUGCCCUUGGCCAGGCGCGGUGGUUCACACCUGUAAUCCCAGCACUUUGGGAGGCCAAGGUGGGUGGAUCACCUGAGGUCAGGAGUUUGAGACCAGCCUGGCCAACAUGGUGAAACCACAUAUCUACUAAAAAUACAAAAAUUAGCCGGGUGUGGUGGUAUAUGCCUGUAAUCCCAGCUACUCGGGAGGCUGAGGCUGGAGAAUUCCUUGAACCCAGGAGGCGGAGGUUGCAGUGAGCUGAGAUCACACCAUUGCACUCCAGCCUAGGCAACAAGAGAGAAACUCUAUCUCAAAAAAAAAAAAA
rnacentral:sRNA from 1 species